ensembl:lncRNA
GUGUCAGUGUUGUUUGUGUGUAUCAAUGUGUGUGUCAGUGUGUGUGUGUGUGUGGUUGUGUCAGUGUGUGUGUGUGGUUGUGUCAGUGUGUGUGUGUAGUUGUGUCAGUGUGUGUGUGUGUGUGCGUGUGUGUUGAUUAUGUAUCAGUGUGUGUGUGUGUGGUUGUGUCAGGGUGUGUGUGUGGUUGUGUCAGGGUGUGUGUGUGGUUGUGUCAGGGUGUGUGUGUGGUUGUGUCAGGGUGUGUGUGUGGUUGUGUCAGGGGUGGUGUGUGUGUGUGUGUUGUUUAUGUAUCAGGGUGUGUGUGUGGUUGUGUCAGGGUGUGUGUGUGGUUGUGUCAGGGUGUGUGUGUGGUUGUGUCAGGGGGUGUUGGGUAAUGGGGAAAUAGACCAUGGGAGGUCUAUGAGUGUGUGUGUGUGAUUCUGCCUUCUACUUGUGUGUGUCUCUCUCUCAAUUAUACAUGUCAGUAUAACUCCAAUCUAAUGGAACGUGAUGAUCCACAUUGAGGAUCCAUGAUGGAGCCACCCAGC